UACGUAGGUGGCAAGCGUUGUCCGGAUUUACUGGGCGUAAAGAGCGCGCAGGCGGUCGUGCAAGUCGCGUGUGAAAGCCCCCCGGCUCAACUGGGGAGGGUCACGCGAUACUGCUCGACUCGAAGGCAGGAGAGGGAAGUGGAAUUCCCGGUGUAGUGGUGAAAAUGCGUAGAUAUCGGGAGGAACACCAGUGGCGAAGGCGACUUCCUGGCCUGUUCUUGACGCUGAGGCGCGAAAGCUAGGGUAGCAAACGGG
rnacentral:rRNA from 1 species